UAUAAGUGCAGUUUUGCACUAUUCACGUUCAACGUUUGAUCGUUCGUCUUAUUUGAAAAUUUUUUAUGAUUAGUAUUUUUAUUGUUAUUAGAUGAUAAAACAUGAAUAGUACUUUAUGUGUGACUAAUUUUUUUUUUAUUUUUUUCACAAAUUUUUCAAAUAAGACGAACGGUCAAACGUUGGACACGGAUAUCUACGGCUGCACUUAUU
rfam:Oryza sativa Japonica Group DNA, chromosome 3, cultivar: Nipponbare, complete sequence.